CUAUGGGGCUGUUAAGUGAUGACGUCACAGUUCCUUCGAUACGCAUAACAACGAUCCCACUGGGGACAAACAAAAGUAGCGUCGUCUCCACCGAACCAGUUGUCAGUGGCAACAUAUAGGAAUCGUGUACAUUUCUUCGUUUCUUCUUUGCUGUUUUCAGUGAGUGUUUUGUUUUCUCUUUGUCCUUGAUCUCGACGAUGUUGUCGUGCUCAUUACCUUACUGAGACGUCUCUUGUGACUGUAGCCAGUGUCACGGAGGAUUUUAUUGGCGUGACAAGGUAGAUCGCCGAGAUCGAGCGUGAAAAACGCUCUGCAUUAGUAGCUCCUGUAGAAUGUUUUCUGGGAUGGCGUAUCCAUGGUCAACAAAACCAAGGUUCAAGACAGCAUGAGAGAUCGUGUAAACGAUGUGAACUCCAAAAGGUAAGCUCCUGAACAAGUGGAAAGAUAUAGGUAUUUACAAACUCUCUCUUCAUCCAUCGAUUGCCGCUAUGCAUUGCAUUUUGUCUUCACAGAUAAUCUGGCCAAAUUUAUUGUAACUAGAGAGUGCAAUCGUGCUUGGGGCCCAUCCCAAUGUCAUCACAUGGCUGUGGUGACUAGUAUAUAUCUGGGAGAAUUUUUCCUCGACUGAUACGGAGUGCAGGUGGAUCGAUUAUGAGAAAUGCGAACAUGUGAAGUUCAAGGCUAGAUGCACUUCAAAUUCGGCGUGCGAUCUCAGCGUCUGGGACCUGAUGAAGUCUUGGUUGGAUGAUUAUUCAAGCCUGACACUACUCGACACACCAAUGUACAUGUCAAUGUAAUUUUUUCAGAGCUGCACUAUUUACGUGUUGAUGCUUACUUCGGUGUUAGCGUGUUUCCCCCGGAUUGUUUCUAUCAUCAUGAUCGUGUGUUCUUGGGCUGAGCGAGCACAUGCACAAGUGUGCAGCUAUAACCCUGUGUAUCUUUGGUUACACUUUGUUCUGCAAUGCAUGUACCUUGUAACAUUAUGUGCUUGCACUGAUUUGUCUGGCCUGCGUAUUUCAAGACUAUUCAGUGCAUUAGACCCAGGUUUGUUUGGUUGCCGGAUGAUCUCUUGUUGCGUCGCUCUGUAUUUGUAUUCAUCAAUUUUUGGGCUUGAGAAUUGAGCUGUUGUGUGGUUCCCAAUAUGAAAACAUCAUGCUGGUGCUCUGUGUUUCGAUUAUCGACUGUCGGAGCAGUCAUGCAUUUAUUAGCAGAACGGUCAAUACUGUAGUCUUUUCA